AGAGUUUGAUCCUGGCUCAGGAUGAACGCUAGCUACAGGCUUAACACAUGCAAGUCGAGGGGAACGACAUCGAAAGCUUGCUUUUGAUGGGCGUCGACCGGCGCACGGGUGAGUAACGCGUAUCCAACCUGCCCACCACUUGGGGAUAACCUUGCGAAAGUAAGACUAAUACCCAAUGACGUCUCUAGAAGACAUCUGAAGGAGAUUAAAGAUUUAUCGGUGAUGGAUGGGGAUGCGUCUGAUUAGCUUGUUGGCGGGGUAACGGCCACCAAGGCGACGAUCAGUAGGGUUCGUGAGAGGAAGGUCCCCCCANAUUGGAACUGAGACACGGUCCAAACUCCUACGGGAGGCGA
rnacentral:rRNA from 1 species